rnacentral:rRNA from 1 species
AUUCCAGCUCCAAUAGCGUAUAUUAAUGUUGUUGCAGUUAAAAAGCUCGUAGUUGGAUUUCUGGUCGGGACGUCUGGCCGGCUCCGCAAGGGGUCGUUGCAUUGACUGUACUCGUCCAUCCUCAGGUUGACUAGCUCUGGUAUUUAUUUAUCGGUGUUAGAACGCCUGUCGUUUACUGUGAACAAAUUAGAGUGUUCAAAGCAAGGUGUACUUGAAUACAUUAGCAUGGAAUAAUAAGAUAGGACUUUGGUGGUUCUUUUUAGAUAUUUUGUUGGUUUGCACGCCAAAGUAAUGAUUAAUAGGAGCAGUUGGGGGUAUUCGUAUUCAAUUGUCAGAGGUGAAAUUCUUGGAUUUAUAGAAGACGAACUACUGCGAAAGCAUUUACCAAGGAUGUUUUCAUUA